UCCAGGAUAGCUUAGUUGGUUUACCAUGAGACUCUUCAUUUCAGAGUGAUGGGUUCAAGCCCCACAAUGGGCAAAA